GAGGGUAUAGCUCAGUGGCAGAGCUCCCGUUUGGCAUGCAUGAGAUCCUGGGUUCAAUCCCCAGUACCUCCA
rnacentral:tRNA from 1 species